UCCCCCUUCAUCACCACCGUUUGGAUUCGAUUUGGAGGGAGCUUCUUCUUGGAUCUAGCCUCACCACCACCGUCUGUUUCUUCUACAACUCUUAAGUCCUCUCUCUUUGAACCAAGAUGGGGUUGAUUUUCUGUCCAUACUUUCUCCAUAUAUAACCAUCUUCCAUCAGGUUUUAUUUGCCCAUUUGUGCCACUGCUUCUCAUAGCUUGCACUCUCAUCAAUUCUUAAUUACCUGUUCAUCUUGGAUAAGCAUUACUACAUAAUUUGUUGUACUUUUAGUUAACCAAACUCGUUUCUCAAAUGUUUUUUUAUUUUAUAUCAGGUUGUGUGUGGAAAUUUUGGAAUUAAUGGAAGUAGUUUGGUUUAAUAACUUUGAAUUUUAUUGUUAUUUAAGUUAAUAUUAGAAUAUAUCUAGUGUUCUCUUUUUCUCUGCAUGCCAUGCCUUAAUAGUGACAAACAUAUUUCACCUUCAUUUUAGUAAAUAGUAAGAAUGAUAGGAACUCCAAGUAAACAAAAAUUGGUACUCUUUUUGUGUGAUGUUAAAGAAAAUUUAAUUCAAUUCAAUAACUACAUUUCCGUAAAAUGUUCAUGAUCUUUUUCUUUUCGUAUUUGUUUCUCUGGUUUGUAAAAUUGAAUGUCCAUACUAUAGAAUAAAUUGUCUAAUUGAAACUUUGUUAAUGAUUAUAUUGUUAAAGUUAGGAUGCUUGUAAGCUUGUAGAACAUGUUAUUAUUUAGCACUGUUUUUAAGGCUGAAGCACGAAACUUUUAAGGGAAACAAAAAUGUUAAACAUGAUUUAUUUACAUGCUUGACUAUACAUUGCAUUAAUACAGUACAUUAAAAUGUUAUGCUUGCAAGUUGAUGAGCUGAAUAUGCUCGCCUUUGAUGUAUGGACAUAAUGCCAUAGCUGUGAAUGAAUUUCAAAGUCAAGUAGAUUUAUGGCUAGUGGUGAGAAAGAAAAACCAUCCUUGCUGGCCAAGAAUGUUAAAGUGUCAUUUCCAAGUGGUUCUAUGGUUGCAAUCCUUGAUGAGUUGGAAGAAAUUGCAUCAAGACCUAGUCAAACUCCAACACUCCCCCACAUUGGUUCUACUAGUAAGAGAAAAAGAGGUCCUACCCAAUGUCUCAAGACUCAUGGUUUGAGAUAUGAUGAGCGUUUACCGGUUAAACUUAAUGUCCUUGGUCAACCUGUUGGCACUUAUCGAGCUACAUUGAGCAAUUAUUUGGGAACAUUAGCUAGGAAUGCACAUUUAGCUCCUCUAACUUUUACUAGUUGGAAAGGAUUGAAAGAACAUUGGGAUGACAUGUGGAAAACAGUAUUGUCAAAAUUUGAUAUUGAAGAACGUGCUAAAAAGUGGGUUUUAGGAAGCAUAUGUUCAAGUUGGAGGAACCACAAAUGUCGAUUGAAGACAAAGUAUUUUUUUCCAAAUAUGCCAGAUGAUUACAACUUCAAAAAUCGACCCCCAAGUGUUCCACUUGAGCAGUGGAAAAUUCUUAUUAAAUUUUGGAAAUCUGACAUAGCUAAGGUUCGCUGUGAGAAGAACAAAACAAGCAGAGCAAAAUUUACUUCUGUACAUACCACAGGAACAAAAACCUUUGCUGAAAUACGAUAUGAAGAGAUGAUGAAAAAUAUUGAUGGAAGAGAGCCAUCUCGUGCAGAAAUGUUCAUCAUGACACAUAAGCCUAAAAAUGAGGAAACCAAAGAGAUUAUUUCAAAGCUUGAGGAUGCAAUUUCUUCGCAUUCAAUAGAACCAGAGAAAAACUCAACCCGAGAUGAUGUAUUUUCCCAAGUCUUUGGAAGAGAUCGACAUGGUUAUGUGCGCACAUAUGGAAAAGGGGUUUCACCUUCCGAUCUAUGGGGAUCUAACUCCCGAGUUGGAAUACAAAAAUUAAUUGAUGAAGUUCAAAGGAAUGCUCAGGUUGAAAUACAAAGCAUGAAAAACAGAAUGCAAGAGGAAAUGGAAAUAAAGCUAAAAGAGCAAGUGAAGGAGCAAGUGGAAACCAAACUAAAAGAGCAACUAGAAGCAAUGAAAGUUGAGCUGCUAAACAACUUCAAAAUCGCUUUUACUCAAAUUCCAAGUUAUGCUCCAGAAGUAAUGGUUUCAAAUUUGAAUAAAGAGGAGGUGGACAUUGAAGAUGAUGGAUAAUGAUGACAACAUCUCUCAUAAAGGUUUAUUUAUUUCAUAGUAGUAAAUAUUGAUUUAGUAUUAAAUGUUUUGAUCUUUGCAUUGUUCCUUUGGUAGUUAUUGAAGAUCCUACAAGUGAGCUCGUAGAGAAAAAUGCACAUGCCUUGAUCUUUCCAUUCACUCAUACUAGCCCCAGGAGAAAAAAGGAAAAAGUGCAGAAAACUAACACCAAGUUAACUAAGAGGAAAUUAGAAGAUCUUAAUGUUGAAAUUGUCACACUUGAUAAAGAUCUUAGCAUUCUCAAACAUCCAUCCAAUGCCUUUGAGCUUUUCUUGCAAGAAUUUGCAAACAACUAUAAAGAAACAAAAGUUGAUUUAGAUAAUUUUGAAAGGGUUAAGAAAAAAGCUGUUAAGGCAUGGAACUCUCUGACAAAUAAAGAAUUAGAGUCUUAUUUCAAUGCAGCAACUAAACUCAAAAGAAAAUUACAUUUGAGUACAUUAAAGGAAAGGUUCUUCUUCUUCUUCUUCAUAACUUUAGUGUUGUUAACAUUCUUGAAUAUCAUGCCAUAAGAUGUUCUUAUUAUCCUCUUGAACAUCAUGCCAAAAGUAAUUGUUGCAAUCCAUACAUAGCCACUGCCCAUCAUUCCUAGCUUCUGAGCAAUGGAAAAAUGCUCAAACCAGUUUCAGGAUUAACAUCCCUCCAUCUGUAUAAGUAGUUUUUGUUUCCAUUUUUGUUGUUAUAUUGAUUGUUUGUUAAUGAACUUUAUCUAAGUAGUGUUGUUGAAGGAAAAGAAAUAGGAAAAAGAGAGCGGAAACCUAAAAUUCAUUUUGACGGGACUGACUUGAAAAAAUUGAAACAAGAGAAAUCUCACAAGUUUGCUAAAUGAUGCACAUACAUUGUUACAUGCAAAUGAGCUGAAGAAGCGGCUUGAAUAAGGUAAUGAUCGUAGGAAGUUCAGCAUCAAAAGAUUCUGAAUCAGGAAGAUGAUGAAGAAUAAGACUGAAAUUAAAGCUAAUUCAGUAUCAUAUCUCCAAGAAAUUCUGAACUGUCAAAAUAAAAAUCCAUGCAUUAGUAACAGAAGAAGAGAAGGACAGUUCAAUUUAUGUUGAUGGUUAUUAAGAUCAUAUUUUAAACUUGAGAUUUUCCAUGUUUUA